rnacentral:rRNA from 1 species
ACUGGUUGUAGUUAAACGCCCGUAGCGUACCUAAGAAGUAUCUUUGCUUGCCUGUCCAUGUAACCAUGUUGUUGUGCCUUUACUGGUAUGAUACUUGGUGAAGUGGUCCUCGGUCUCUAGCAGCUCGGUGCAAAAGCAAUCGACUGUGAAGGGAUAGGUUAGUAUUUGGUACUUCGAUUUGUUCCACUUCGGUGGAGCAACCUAUUGGAGCAACCGUAAACAAAUCAGCGUGUUCAAAGCAGGCUAUGUAGUGGGUUUACCCAUAUGCUUGAAUGAUUUAGCAUGGAAUUGCCUAAAGACUAUUUCUUCGGGAGUAGUCGUUCGUAACGAGACACAGGAAGAGGUUCCUAGUACUAUGGGGCGAGAGGUGAAAUUCAGUGACCACCAUAUGACUAUCUAAUGCGAAAGCAGUUGUGAGCCAGUACGUGUCUGUCAGUCAGGGACGAAAGUUGAGGGAUCGAAGAUGAUUAGAUACCGUCGUAGUCUCAACCGUAAACGAUACCAACACGAGAUUGGUAAUGAAACCAUUUAUAGAUCUUUUCAGAAUCCAAGGGAAACCGUUAAGUCUUUGGGUUCUGGGGGGAGUAUGGUCGCAAGGCUGAAACUUAAAGGAAUUGACGGAAAGGCACCACCAGGAGUGGAGUAUGCGGCUUAAUUUG